GAUGAACGCUAGCGGCAGGCCUAAUACAUGCAAGUCGAACGGUCACGCAGCAAUGCGUGAUAGUGGCGCACGGGUGCGUAACACGUAUGCAACCUACCUUAUAGAGGGGGAUAGCCUUUGGAAACGGAGAUUAAUACCCCAUAACACAGUUUUUUGGCAUCGGAGGACUGUUAAAGAUUUAUCGCUAUAAGCUGGGCAUGCGUCCAAUUAGUUAGUUGGCGGGGUAACGGCUCACCAAGACGAUGAUUGGUAGGGGAACUGAGAGGUUAAUCCCCCACACUGGCACUGAGAUACGGGCCAGACUCCUACGGGAGGCAGCAGUAGGGAAUAUUGGGCAAUGGAGGCAACUCUGACCCAGCCAUGCCGCGUGCAGGAAGAAGGCGUUAUGCGUUGUAAACUGCUUUUAUAUAGGAAGAAAGAGUUCUUGCGAGAACAGUUGACGGUACUAUAUGAAUAAGCACCGGCUAACUCCGUGCCAGCAGCCGCGGUAAUACGGAGGGUGCAAGCGUUGUCCGGAUUUAUUGGGUUUAAAGGGUGCGUAGGCGGUUUAUUAAGUCAGUGGUGAAAGACGGUCGCUCAACGAUUGCAGUGCCAUUGAUACUGGUAGACUUGAGUGAGAUUGAGGUAGCUGGAAUGGAUAGUGUAGCGGUGAAAUGCAUAGAUAUUAUCCAGAACACCAAUUGCGUAGGCAAGUUACUAAGUCUCAACUGACGCUGAGGCACGAAAGUGUGGGUAUCAAACAGGAUUAGAUACCCUGGUAGUCCACACUGUAAACGAUGAUAACUAACUGUUGGCUUUUGGGUCAGUGGUACAGAGAAAUCGUUAAGUUAUCCACCUGGGGAGUCCCCGACCGGGCG
rnacentral:rRNA from 1 species